rnacentral:tRNA from 1 species
AAUUAAAUAUUUUAAAUAAAAUUUUAAAUUGCAAAUUUAAAAAUUCAAUUAGAUUGAUUUAAUUU